rnacentral:rRNA from 1 species
CAGUGCCGUGAGGCUGAGCGAAUCCCAAAAAUAACGUCUCAGUUCGGAUUGUAGUCUGCAACCCGACUACAUGAAGCUGGAAUCGCUAGUAAUCGCGGAUCAGAAUGCCGCGGUGAAUACGUUCCCGGGUCUUGUACACACCGCCCGUCACACCAUGGGAGUUGGAAAUGCCCGAAGUCAGUGACCCAACCGGAAGGAGGGAGCUGCCGAAGGCAGGUUCGAUAACUGGGGUGAAGUCGUAACAAGGUAUC